CUCUGUUUGUUUGGAUAAUUCCACAGGAAUCGUCAACAGCGGACUUGAAUAGAUGAUGUGCGAGUUCAUUGAUGGAUUGGCCUGCACUCAUGCGUCAUCACAGUAUAAAGGAUUUUAAUCUAAAAAGAAACCCUGCAGAUUUGCAGCUGUGCAGAAUGCAGUUCAUGCCAUAUGCUGUUAGAGUAAAUGAUGAAAGAUGUUCAAACCAGUGUCAAAGAGUCCUAAGUCUGAAAUCAUGGUGCUUUAAUUAAGGAGAUCAGUGUAUGUUUUCUGUGCAUUGUUGACAUUUGUGGAACUGUUCAGUUUAUGACC